UCGACGAACCGUGAAUUUCUGUGUAUGGUGUAUUAUUCCUUUUUCUCCUUCCCUCUCUCUCUCUCUCUCUCUCUCUCUCUCGCUCUCUCUCUCGCUCUCUCUCUCGCUCUCUCUCUCUCUCUCUCUCGUUCUCCUUUGUGUGAUUUUGUUUUUAUAAAACUAAUUUGAGAAUUAAGAAAAACAUAGAAAAUAGAAGGAGAGAAAGAGACAAAUGUGAAAAAAAAGAAAGUGAUCGGUGUAUUUAGUUUUUCGUCGUACGCCGCUUAGCUCAAAUAUUUUUCGUGAGGGCUAGCGAGGCAUGACGGGAACAGGUGACAAUAGAGGAACUUCGCCAUGUUAGAUUUCGCGAGAUCGCGAAACGUGCGCCGCCUGCUGCUGCUGCUGCCACUAGUGGAGGAGAAGGAGAAGUGGCAUCAUACGGAAAGAGAGAGAUAGAGGGAGAAAAAAAACCACGACAUAUAUAUAUAUACACACACACAAUAUUAAAGCAGCAGAGAGAGAAAAAGAGAGAGAGAGAGAGAGAAAGAGAGAGAGAGAGGGAGAUAGUGAAUUUAUUUUGUUUUUCUCCGCUCUCCUUCGCGCUACUUUCACCCUCUCGACACUGUGAUCCGCCUGAAAAUCAUCCAAGCUGGAUAGGUUACCCGAGUAUCUCCGCGAUACCGUGGAUUGGUUUAUGGGGAAUUAUUAUCUUCGUUUAUGUAGGAGAAAGUUUGCUAAAGGAUAAUGAUGAUGAUGAUGAUGAUAAUAAUGAUGAUGAUGAUGAUGAUGACGAUGGUGAUGAUGGUGAUGAUGAUCGAUAAAUGCAUUUGAAGGUUAUCCUUGACGAAUGGCUUUCCUAACCUCUGUGUUUCUCUUCCAUUUUUUUCAUUGUUGUAUUUUUGUAUUUUCUUUUUGGAGAAUUCCUCAAGGGAAUUAAUUGAGGAGAUCAAGCAACGAGUUUUUGUCGAAAUAAUUUGAAUAUCCAAAAUCGAAUUUAACGUUUUCAUAAAUAAUAUGAUCUCUGGAAUAAUCUAUGAGAGAGUUCAGUAUUGUGAUAGCGCUCGGUGGAUGAACUCGAUAUAUCUUGGAUUUUUUUCUGAGGUUAAAAGAGAAACAAAAAAAAAUGUAAAUCAUAUUUUCAACCGGAAAAAUCAGCUAUCUUUCUUUUAUUAUUAUUAUCAAGGCAUAUAAUGAAUUGUUUUUUUUUUCGUUCAUCUCUUUUUUCGAUUAAAUUUGAAUGGAAACUACUUCGGUGAUCAACGUAUAUAUAUCACAAAGUAUUUAUUAUCAAAUAUUUAUACGUUUUUUUUCUUCUUUAUCGGUGUUCUUGGAUUUUGAGUUUCUUCGAUAUAAAAAGAACUGUAUGUAAAUAGAAAAGAAAACUUUGCGUUGUGAUAAAGAGGAUAUAUUUUAUAUAGCAGACUAGCAACGAUGACGACGCAAAGUUAACGUGCAAAGGACAAAAUGUUGAAUAUGUGCGCGAGCCUUCCUUUUCCUUGUCUCUCCCUUCCUCUUCUCGCUCUUGCCGAGUUAUCGAUGUAUGUACGGACGGAAAAGCUAUUUUGCUGUGUGUGUAUGUGUGUGUGUGUGAGUAUGUUACCUGUUAACGAACUUACGUAAACCUUUCGAUCGCUUUUUCGUCAAUAAAUCUCACAUUUUAUCAGGAUGGAAGAUAAGAAGAAAAAAUAAAUUCAAGAAAUUUUUUAAUUC